UAUGCAGGCGGAUCGUUAAGUCGGGGGUGAAAUCCCGAGGCUCAACCUCGGAACUGCCUUCGAUACUGGCGACCUUCGAGUCCGGGAGAGGUGAGUGGAACUCCGAGUGUAGAGGUGAAAUUCGUAGAUAUUCGGAAGAACACCAGUGGCGAAGGCGGCUCACUGGCCCGGUACUGACGCUGAGAUACGAAAGCGUGGGGAGCAAAACA
rnacentral:rRNA from 1 species